AUCCAGCUGUUGAGUCCCACAUAGGAUGAAACGUGCAUCCUGGAU
rnacentral:hammerhead_ribozyme from 1 species